UAGACAGUCACGUGGUCCUGCAUUAAGCUAUAUGACGGCAAAAGUUGCAUAGAAUAGAAAGCUGCUGGAGUUGUGUGUUUCUACUAUUCUGCGAGAACAGCUUCUCUGCCAGCAUGUGGGGGGUGCAGCCUAGGAGGCAGCUGUUAGAGCAUCAAUGAAAGGAUGCCCGGGCAUAUUGGUGGUGUUUGUUGGUACAUGGCUCGUAAGCAUGCAAGGCUUGCUUGCCACAGCUGACUGAAACUGAUGGUCCCUGGGGAAUUGAUUUGUUUGGGGUGAAGGGGCUGCCUGAUUGGGCCAGUGGAGCACCCGAAAAAAAAAUCUGGUGGGCCCAGACCCGAUCCUCACUGGCACUCCAUCCCCUGAUGCACUGAAGGAUAUUGUCCAGCAUCUCUCCAGUUUAAAAUUUCAGCAGCUAUCUAGUUACAGGAAGAUGUACAGGAAAGCCUAAAUAGACAGAUAAGAAAUAAAAGCACUUUUAUGCCUUCAAGAUUGUACCUCUGAGUUUGAUGGAUCCAACAGAACCUGUAAAGCAUCCACUAGAUGUCACUGAGGAGCCUUACAGUAAAUCUAAAAGAAGCCUAGAAGAGAAAAAGUUCAGUGGCAAGGCAUGGAAGAAAGCAGGCUUACAAGAUGGUCUAUUUGUUCUUUAUAGCAUGUCAUACUGAAUAGUUGAGUAGCAAUCAGAUACAGAUAGGGUUUUAUAAUGUAUUGCAAUGUGUUGCACAACAAAGCAGACUAUUAAUCAGCCAGUUAUAAACCAGUGCUGAAGCAUGUGUUUAGACAACUUGUUGCUUUAAAGGGGCAGUAUAUCCCCUCCCCUUGUGUAACUUGAGUGCUAUGAUUAGGGCUUGUGCUAAACCUACUUUUGGCCUGUUUUAAUCAGGAAAAAUCUUUGGCUUCAAGUCGAGGUUUUGUUUUUAGUGCCACAAAAUUGUUUGUUUUCUUAGUCUCUUACCACUAUUUUUGUGGGUUUCAGCAUACCAGAUUAAUGGAUCCCACUUCUUGAGUAAAACUUCUCCACGAGCUAGGUAGUGUUCUUUUUGAAGUAUGCAAUUUUGUUUCUUCCUGGAAGAGGCUCCGUUUUAAGUCUCCUCCUUUACAAUGGCUAAUUCCCAUAAAUGAAAGGCCACUGGGGUCCUUAUUGUGUACCCUGGAAAAAUGUCUAGAUAGGUAAUGUUUUAUAUAGUCCCCUUUUUUCCCUCUUUAUUUGUUAUGUUUAUUGUAAUACUUGAAUUUAUCUAUUAUCUUAAUAACCCCAUUUGUAUUAAUGUAUUCUACUGUACAGCACUGUGUACAUAAGUAGCGCUUUAUAAAUAGAGAUAUAAUAUAUAUAUAUAUAUAUAUAUAUAUAUAUAUAUAUAUAUAUAAUAUUUUCUCUAAUAUAUUAUAUUAAAAGGUGAGUGCAAAGGACCUUUUUGCUGUCUAAAUUUUUGUGGUCACAGCCUCAUUUUACCCCUAUCUAAAGCUAGCCAAGCACUGAUAUAGUUGUGUGUACGUUUUAUACAAUUUUUGGACCCUGUGUGCUCUAAAUUCAUGUCUAAAUUUUCGUACCAUGGCGAUUGGUCAUUUGAAAAAUAAAAUCUGCACAUGUUUAGAACAUCCUUUAGAUUUAUUUUUAGUACUUUAUCCUACAAUUUCAGUCUGAAUGUUAGUUUUAGAUUGUCGCUUUUAUAUGUGCAAUCGAUAUCCAAACAUUUGUUAGAAAAAGACUAAAAUCUGAAUGUUUAUGGACACUUUUAUGGUUUAUAAUUUAGUGUUGAGCACAACUUUCCCUUUUUCUGUAGCUAUUUAGAGUGAUUGUGAGUGGAGAGACUAGCUGAGAGCAUUAGGACCCUGCAGGCAGGAGGAGGAAAGUCACAUGGGCGGAAGGGAAGUAAGAUAGGAAUGGGUGAGUAAGUCAAAGAGGGGCUAAAGGAAAUUGACUGUAGCAGUAACUUAUACAGCCCGGGGCACUUCUAUACUCAAAGUAAGUUCUGAAAAGCAUAUCGGAUUAGUUUCAAGAAGUCUGCAACAAUAUGAGCUCUGUGUGACUUUGUUUUUGAGGAAGUAAAAGCGGAGCAACAGAUCUCACUCAUACACCACUUGAGUGACUUGGGCUUUGGGUCAGCUGGAAGUGAAAACCAACAGAAGGUUCAAAGUUGCUUCUGAAGUUUCUGAGUUUUGGGAUUCUUCUCCAGCAGUUGAUCCAGCUGUGAUUUUAUCUGGCUAAAAGGUUAAUUCAACUGAUGAUUCCUCAGUUUCAGAGGAUGCUAUGGACCGAAAAGUUGAAGCUGAACUGAAAAGUUCAUCAUGUAACAGGGAGUUUAAUGACUGGCCUUUUUUGCCCCAUGGUGCCCCUUAUGGUAUUCUCUCUGCUUUCAGUUUGUUGUAGCUGUGUAAAGCUCUACAAAAUGGAUAGUUGGCAUACAGACAACCAAGGUUCCAGUCCCAUGAGGUUUGUUGGAAUUGUAAUGCAACACCUGAAAUAUGCAUACAUAAACAGUAAUAUUUAACCCUUUGUGUUGCCUCCAUAUAAUGGUGUGAAAUCUAUACAUAGAACAUCAGUGCUGGUACUUUGAUAUCAUUGCCAUUAUUUUUGUCAAGAUUUUGUCCAAGUCUCUACCCCCCCUUCAUUUUCUGGAAUGAAUAUUUGAUUUUCAUGUUUGUUGGAAGCUUUAAAACCUAUACAUCUGUUCCUGUGUUUUUUUUAUUAGGUAUCUCAGAAAUGUCUUUUCCAAACAUUAUCAAUAAACAUUUUUGAGUGAUUUUCAAAGGG